GGGUCAGCAGGUUGGUCGUGCCAUUGGUACGUACUGGUCUCGCUGGUUCCUCCUUUCUGAAGAACUGUAAUGCCAUUAAUUUGGUGUUGCAGGGAAACAGGACUGUUACUUUGAAAAAAUUAGAGUGUUUAAAGCAGGCUAACGCUUGAAUACAUUAGCAUGGAAUAAUGAAAUAGGACGUUUGAUCCUAUUUUGUUGGUUUCUAGGAUUGACGUA
rnacentral:rRNA from 1 species